rnacentral:rRNA from 1 species
CGCAUCUGUGCAUGCAGCAUAUCAAUAAGCGGAGGAAAAGAAACUAACAAGGAUUCCCCUAGUAACGGCGAGUGAAGCGGGAAGAGCUCAAAUUUGAAAUCUUAAAGGGUUUCCCUUUACGAAUUGUAGUUUAAAGAAGUGUUUUCUGUUGAGGUUUUGGUAAAAGUUCUUUGGAAUAGGACAUCAUAGAGGGUGAGAAUCCCGUAUUUGACCUUUACUUUCAACUUUGUGAUACACUUUCAAAGAGUCGGAUUGUUUGGGAAUGCAGUCCAAAAUGGGUGGUAAAUUUCAUCUAAAGCUAAAUAUUGGCGAGAGACCGAUAGCGAACAAGUACCGUGAGGGAAAGAUGAAAAGAACUUUGAAAAGAGAGUUAAACAGUACGUGAAAUUGUCAAAAGGGAAGCGUUUGACACCAGUGUUGUUUUUCUGAAAAUCAAUUAAAGAACUGUUUAUGCUAAGUCGUUUAGACUUUAUCAGCUAUCUGUUUAGUUUUGAGCUUUUCUUUAAUGCACUUUUCAGUUAACAAGUCAACAUCAAUUUCUUUUGCUGUAAAAAAGCUUGAGGAAGGUGGCUUGAGAUUCGUCUUAAGUGUUUAUAGCCUCUUGCCUAUGCAGUCGGAGAGAUUGAGGUCUGCAGCGUAGAUCCUUCGGGGCUAAAUGCAUUUGUGCUAAGUUAUAGCAUUUUAUAGACAACUUGUUGACUAUGAUUUGUCUUGUAGCUUACUCGCUUAUGUUAUUUUACCUACGCUUAGGAUGUUGAGUCGUAGAGCACGCAG